UGGGGAAUUUUGGACAAUGGGGGCAACCCUGAUCCAGCAAUGCCGCGUGUGUGAAGAAGGCCUUCGGGUUGUAAAGCACUUUUGUCCGGGAAGAAAUCGCACCUGAUAUUACCGGGUGUGGAUGACGGUACCGGAAGAAUAAGGACCGGCUAACUACGUGCCAGCAGCCGCGGUAAUACGUAGGGUCCAAGCGUUAAUCGGAAUUACUGGGCGUAAAGCGUGCGCAGGCGGUUGUGCAAGACCGAUGUGAAAUCCCCGGGCUUAACCUGGGAAUUGCAUUGGUGACUGCACGGCUAGAGUGUGUCAGAGGGGGGUAGAAUUCCACGUGUAGCAGUGAAAUGCGUAGAGAUGUGGAGGAAUACCGAUGGCGAAGGCAGCCCCCUGGGAUAACACUGACGCUCAUGCACGAAAGCGUGGGGAGCAAACAGG
rnacentral:rRNA from 1 species